rfam:Myotis davidii contig167966, whole genome shotgun sequence.
AGUGCACCAGUGGGGUCCCUCGGUCUGGCCUGCACCCUUUUGCAAUCUGGGACCCCUUGGGGGUGUCAGAGAGGCAGUUUUGGCCCAAUCCUGCAGGCCAGGCCGAGGGACCCCACUGGUGCACA